AAAAAUAUAUAAAAUAGUCUGUAAAUCAAAUCAAAUUUUAUUGGACACAUACACAUGGUUAGCAGAUGUUAAUGCGAGAGUAGCGAAAUGCUUGUGCUUCUAGUUCUGACCAUGCAGUAAUAUCUAACAAGUAAUCUAACAAUUUCACAACAACUACCUUAUACACACACAAGUGUAAAGGAAUGAAUAAGAAUAUGUGCAUACAAAUAUAUGGAUGAGCGAAGGCCGUGCGGCAUAGACAAGAUACAGUAGAUGGUAUAGAGUACAGUAUAUACCUAUGAGAUGAGUAAUGUAGGGUAUGUAAACAUUAUAUUAAGUGGCAUUGUUUAAAGUGAAUAGUGAUACAUUUAUUACAUACCAUUUUUAAUUAUUAAAGUGGCUAGAGAUUUGAGUUAGUAUGUUGGCAGCAGCCACUCCAUGUUAAUGAUGGCCUUUUAACAGUCUGAUGACCUUGAGAUCGAAGCUGUCCCAGCUUUGAUGCACCUGUACUGACCUCGCCUUCUGGAUGAUAGCGGGGGGAACCGGCAGUGGCUCGGGUGGUUGUUGUUCUUCAUGAUCUUUUUGGCCUUCCUGUGACAUCGGGUGGUGUAGGUGUCCUGGAGGGCAGGUAGUUUGCCCCCGGUGAUGCGUUGUGCAGACCUCACUACCCUUUGGAGAGCCUUACGGUUGUGGGCGGAGCAGUUGCCAUACCAAGCGGUGAUACAGCCUGACAGGAUGCUCUCGAUUGUGCAUCUGUAAAAGUUUGUGAGUGCUUUUGGUGACAAGCAACAUUUCUUCAGCCUCUUGAGGUUGAAGAGGCGCUGUUGCGCCUUCUUCACCACGCUGUCUGUGUGGGUGGACCAUUUCAGUUUGUCCGUGAUGAUUACGCCGAGGAACUUAACAUUUUCCACCUUCUCCACUCCUGUCCCGUUGAUGUGGAUAGGGGGGUGCUCCCUCUGCUGUUUCCUGAAGUCCAAGAUCAUCUCCUUUGUUUUGUGUGAGGUUAUUUUCCUGACACCACACUCCGAGGGCCCUGUAGGCUGUCUUGUCGUUGUUGAUAAUCACUGUAGUGUCGUCUGCAAACCUGAUGAUUUAGUUGGAGGCGGGCAUGGCCAUGCAGUCAUGGGUGAACACGGAGUACAAGAGAGGGCUGAGAACGCACCCUUGUGGGGCCCCAAUGUUGAGGAUCAGGGGGGUGGAGAUGUUGUUUCCCACCCUCACCACCUGCGGGCGGCCCGUCAAAGUCCAGGACCCAGUUGCACAGGGCGGGGUCGAGACCCAGGGUCUCGAGCUUAAUGACAAGUUUGGAGGGUACUAUGGUGUUAAAUGCUGAGCUGUAAUCGAUGAACAGCAUUCUUACAUAGGUAUUCCUCUUGUCCAGAUGGGUUAGGAGAGUGUGAUUAUGUCGUCUGUGGACCUAUUGGGGCGAUAAGCAAAUUGGAGUGGGUAUAGGGUGUCAGGUAGGGUGGAGGUGAUAUGAUCCUUGACUAGUCUCUCAAAGCACUUCAUUAUGAUGGAAGUGAGUGCUACGGGGCGAUAGCCAUUUAGCUCCGUUACCAUAGCUUUCUUGGGAACAGGAACAAUGGUGGCCCUCUUGAUGCAUGUGGGAACAGCAGACUGGGAUAGGGAUUGAUUGAAUAUGUCCAUAAACACACCAUCCAGGUGGUCUGCGCAUGCAGGAGCGGUGAAGGAGAGCCCACAUGUUUUCGAAGCGGGCCGUGUCCGUGGCACUAUAUUGUCCUCAAAGCGAAUAAAGAAGUUGUUUAAUUUAUCUGGGAGCAAGACGUGGGUGUCUGCGACGAGGCUGGUUUUCUUUUUGUAAUCUGUGAUUGACUGUUUACCCUGCCACAUACGUCUCAUGUCUGAGCCGUUGAAUUGCGACUCACAUUUGUCUCUAUACUGACUCUUAGCUUGUUUGAUUGCCUUGCUGAGGGAAUAUCUACACUGUUUGUAUUCGGUCAUGUUUCCGGUUGCAUUGCCAUGAUUAAAAGCAGUGGUUCACGCUUUGAGUUUUGCGCGAAUGCUGCCAUCAAUCCACGGUUUCUGGUUGGGGAAGGUUUCAAUAGUCACCGUGGGUUCAACAUCACUGAUGCACUUGUUAACUUCUUACGGCUGAAAUCCCGUUAACGGGAUCGAUUUGACAACAGCCAGUGAAAGUGCAGGGUGCCAAAUUCAAACAACAAUAAUCUCAUAAUUAAAAUUCCUCAAACAUACAUGUAUUAUACACCAUUUUAAAGAAACUUGUUGUUAAUCCCACCACAGUGUCCAAUUUCAAAAAGGCUUUACGGUGAAAAUAUACCAUGCGAUUGUGUUAGGUCAGCGCCAAGUCACAAAAAAACACAGCCGUUUUCUAGCCAAAGAGAGGAGUCACAAAAAGCAGAAAGAGAUAAAAUUAAUCACUAACCUUUGAUGAUCUUCAUCAGAUGGCACUCAUAGGACUUCAUGUUACACAAUACAUGUAUGUUUUGUUCAAGAAAGUUCAUAUUUAUAUCCAAAAAUCUCAGUUUACAUUGGCGCGUUAUGUUCAGUAAUGUUGUGCCUCCAAAACAGCCGGUGAUUUUGCAGAGAGCCACAUCAAUUUACAGGAAUCUGUGUUAUGCACAGAAUUAAAGAUAUACUUCUCCUUAAUGCAACCGCGGUGUCAGAUUUAAAAAAAAAAGCUUUACGGCAAAAGCACACCGUGCGAGAGUCCAGCGCUCAGCCACCAUACAGAUUAGAGGUCGACUGAUUAAUCGGAAUGGCCGAUUUCAAGUUUUCAUAACAAUCGGAAAUCGGUAUUUUUGGACACCGAUUUUGCAGAUUCUUUAUAUAAAAAAUGUACACCUUUAUUUAACUAGGCAAGUCACUUAAGAACACAUUCUUAUUUUCAAUGACGGCCUAGGAGCGGUGGUUAACUGCCUCGUUCAGGGGCAGAAUGACAGAUUUUCACCUUGUCAGCUCGGUGGAUCCAAUCUUGCAACCUUACAGUUAACUAGUCCAACGCUUUAACGACCUGCCUCUCUCUCGUUGCACUCCACAAGGAGACUGCCUGUUACGCAAAUGCAGUAGGGCCAAGGUAAGUUGCUAGCUGCAUUAAACUUAUCUUAUAAAAAACAAUCAAUCAUAAUCACUAGUUAACUACACAUGAUUGAUGAUAUUACUAGAUAUUAUCUAGCGUGUCCUGCGUUGCAUAUAAUUUGACUGAGCAUGCAAGUAUCUAAGUAUCUGACUGAGCGGUGGUAGGCAGAAGCAGGUGCGUAAACAUUUAUUCAAACAGCACUUUCUUUGCGUUUUGCCAGCAGCGCUUCUUUGUGCGUCAAGCAUUGCGCUGUUUAUGACUUCAAGCCUAUCAACUCCCGAGAUGAGGCUGGUGUGACCGAAGUGAAAUGGCUAGCUAGUUAGCGCGCGCUAAUAGCGUUUCAAACGUCACUCUCUCUGAGCCUGUGGUUGUUUCCCUUGCUCUGCAUGGGUAACGCUGCUUCGAAGGGUUGCUGUUGUCGUGGUGUUCCUGGUUCGAGCCCAGGGAGGAGCGAGGAGAGGGACGGAAGCUAUACUGUUACACUUGCAAUAUUAAAGUGUCUUUAAGAACAUCCAAUAGUCAAAGGUUAAUGAAAUACAAAUGGUAUAGAGGGAAAUAGUCCUAUUCCAAUAAUAACUACAACUUAACUUCUUACCUGGGAAUAUUGAAGACUGGUGUUAAAAGGAACCACCAGCUUUCAUAUGUUCUCAUGUUCUGAGCAAGGGACUUAAACGUUAGCUUUCUUACAUAGCACAUAUUGCACUUUUACUCUCUUCUCCAACACUUUGUUUUUGCAUUAUUUCAACCAAAUUGAACGUGUUUCAUUAUUCGAGGCUAAAUUGAAUUUAUUGAUGUAUUAUAUUAAGUUUAAAAUAAGUGUUCAUUUAGUAUUGUUGUAAUUGUCAAUUUUACAAAUUUAAAAAUAAAUAAAAAAAUCGGCCGACUAAUCGGUAUCGCCUUUUUAGGUCCUCCAAUAAUCGGUAUCGUCAUCGGCGUUGAAAAAUCAUAAUCAGUCGACCUCUAAUACAGAUACCCGCCAUGUUGUGGAGUCAACAAGUCAGACAUAGCAUUAUAAAUAUUCACUUACCUUUGAGGAUCUUCAUCAGAAUGCACUCCCAGGAAUCCCAGUUCCACAAUAAAUGUUUGAUAAAGUCCAUAAUUUAUGUCCAAAUACCUCCUUUUUGUUCGCGCGUUUAAUCCAGUAAUCCAAAUGCGCAAGCACUAUGUCUAGAUGAAAAGUAAAAAAGUAGAAACAUGUCAAAUGAUGUAUGUAAUCAAUCUUUAGGAUGUUUUUAUCAUAAAUCUUCAUAAUGUUUCAACCGGACAAUUCCUUUGUCUUUAGAAAUGAAAAGGAACAGAGCUCGUGCUCACGGCCGCGGGCGUCACUAAACUCAAGGCUUUCAGGCAGACCCCUGAUUCAAACAGCUCUUAUUCGCUCCCCUUCACAGUAGAAGCCUGAAACAAGGUUCUAAAGACUGUUGAAAUCUAGUGGAAGCAUUAGGAAGUGCAAAUUGACCAAAUUUACACUGUAUAUUGGAUAGGCAAUCACUUUUUAAAAACUACAAACCUCAGAUUUCCCACGUCCUGGUUGGAUUUUUCUCAGGCCUGCCAUUGGGGCGGCAGCGUAGCCUAGUGGUUAGAGCGUUGGACUAGUAACCGGAAGGUUGCGAGUUCAAACCCCCGAGCUGACAAGGUACAAAUCUGUCGUUCUGCCCCUGAACAGGCAGUUAACCCACUGUUCCCAGGCCGUCAUUGAAAAUAAGAAUAUGUUCUUAACUGACUUGCCUGGUUAAAUAAAGGUAAAAUUAAAAAAAUUAAAAAAAUUAAAAUAUGAGCUUUGUUAUACUCACAGACAUCAUUCAAACAGUUUUAGAAACUUCAGUGUUUUCUUUCCAAAUUUACUAAUAAUAUGCAUAUCUUAGCUUCCUGACGUGAAAAUAGCGCCCCCAAGCCAUUAGAAGUUAAUAAACUCGCUCACCGAAUCAGCGUAUACAUCAAUGUUGUUGUCUGAGGCUAUCCGGAACAUAUCCCAGUCCACGUGAUCGAAGCAAUCUUGAAGCGUGGAAUCAGAUUGGUCGGACCAGCGUUGGAGACCUGAGCACGGGUGUUUCCUGUUUUAGUUUGUCUAUAGGCUGGGAGCCACGAAAUGGAGUCAUGGUCAGAUUUGCCGAAAGGAGGGCGAGGGAGGGCUUUGUAUGCGUCGUGGAAGUUAGAGUAGCAAUGAUCCAGAAUGCUGCCAGCCCCGGCCGCGCAUUCGAUAUGCUGAUAAAAAUUUAGGGAGCCUCCCUAAAUCCCCAGCUACUUUAAAACGUUAAAAUCCCCAGCUACUUUAAAUGCAGCUUCAGGAUAUGGGGUUUCCAGUUUAUAUAGUCCAAUGGAGUUCUUUCAGGGCCGUCAAGGUGUCUGCUUAGGGGGGAUAGACACGGCUGUGAUUAUAACCGAAGAAAAUUAUCUUGGUAGAUAAUGCGGUCGGCACUUGGUUGUUAAGGAAUUCUAGUUCAGGUGAACAAAAGGACUUUAGUUCCUGUAUGUUAUGAUCACACCACGACUCGUUAAUCAUAAGGCAAACACCCCCGCCCUUCUUCUUACCAGAGAGAUGUUUGUUUCUGUCGGCACGAUGCCUGACGAAACCAGAUGGCUUUACCGACUCCCGAGUUAGCCAUGUUUCCAUGAAACAGAGAAUGUUAUGAUCUCUGACAUCUCUGGAAGGCAACCCUUGCUCGAAUUUCAUCUACCUUGUUGUCAAGAGACUGGACAUUGGCGAGUAGCAUACUCAGGAGCGGUGAGCGAUGUGCCCGUCUACGGAGUCGGACCAAGUCUGCCCUUUCUGCGGCGCUGUUGUUUUGGGUGGCCUACUGGGAUCCGAUCCAUUGUCCUGGUGGUCAAAAUAGAGGAUCCGCUUCGGGAAAGUUGUAUUCGUGGUCGUAAUGUUGGUAAGUUGACGUUGCUCUUAUAUCCAAUAGUUCUUCCCGACUGUAUGCAAUAAGACUUAAGAUUUCCUGGGGUAACAGUGUAAGAAAUAAUACAUUUUAAAAAUACUGCAGUUUCCUAAGAACGCGAAGCGAGGUGACCAUCUCUGUCGGCGCCAUCAUGGAAUCCACUCAGUUACCUGAAAUGUAUCAAUACAUAAAAGCCUGCACGCUAUUGCACCAGUGCCCACACAGUGUCCAGUGUCUCAUUGUAUUGAGGUGGCGUGGCCUGUCCAGUGUCUCAUUGUAUUGAAGUGACGUGGCCUGUCCAGUGUCUCAUUGUGUUGGGGUGGCGUGGCCUGUCCAGUGUCUCAUUGUAUUGAAGUGACGUGGCCUGUCCAGUGUCUCAUUGUAUUGAAGUGACGUGGCCUGUCCAGUGUCUCAUUGUGUUGGGGUGGCGUGGCCUGUCCAGUGUCUCAUUGUGUUGAGGUGGCGUGGCCUGUCCAGUGUCUCAUUGUGUUGAGGUGGCGUGGCCUGUCCAGUGUCUCAUUGUAUUGAGGUGGCGUGGCCUGUCCAGUGUCUCAUUGUAUUGAAGUGACGUGGCCUGUCCAGUAUCUCAUUGUAUUGAAGUGACGUGGCCUGUCCAGUGUCUCAUUGUAUUGAAGUGGCGUGGCCUGUCCAGUAUCUCAUUGUAUUGAAGUGACGUGGCCUGUCCAGUGUCUCAUUGUAUUGAAGUGACGUGGCCUGUCCAGUGUCUCAUUGUGUUGGGGUGGCGUGGCCUGUCCAGUAUCUCAUUGUAUUGAGGUGGCGUGGCCUGUCCAGUGUCUCGUUGUUUUUAUUUUUUAUUUAUUUCACCUUUAUUUAACCAGGUAGGCAAGUAGAGAACAAGUUCUCAUUUACAAUUGCGACCUGGUCAAGAUAAAGCAGAGCAGUUUGACGCAUACCACAACAGAGUUACACAUGGAGUAAAACAAACAUAGUAAAUAAUACAGUAGAAACAAGUCUAUAUACGAUGUGAGCAAAUGAGGUGAGAUAAGGGAGGUAAAGUUUUUUUAAAGACCAUGGUGGCAAAGUAAAUACAAUAUACCAAGUAAAACACUGUAAUGGUAGAUUUGCAGUGGAAGAAUGUGCAAAGUAGAAAUAAAAAUAAUGGUGUGCAAAGGAGCAAAAUAAAUAAAUAAAUAAAUACAGUAGGGAAAGAGGUAGUUGUUGGGGCUAAAUUAUAGGUGGGCUAUGUACAGGUGCAGUAAUCUGUGAGCUGCUCUGACAGCUGGUGCUUAAAGCUAGUGAGGGAGAUAAGUGUUUCCAGUUUCAGAGAUUUUUGUAGUUCGUUCCAGUCAUUGGCAGCAGAGAACUGGAAGGAGAGGCGGCCAAAUAAAUAAUUGGUUUUGGGGGUGACCAGAGGGAUAUACCUGUUGGAGCGCGUGCUACAGCGAGCUGAUAUAAGGGGGGACUUUACCUAGCAGGGUCUUUUAGAUGACAUGGAGCCAGUGGGUUUGGCGACGAGUAUGAAGCGAGGGCCAGCCAACGAGAGUGUACAGGUCGCAAUGGUGGGUAGUAUAUGGGGCUUUGGUGACAAAACGGAUGGCACUGUGAUAGACUGCAUCCAAUUUGUUGAGUAGGGUAUUAGAGGCUAUUUUGUAAAUGACAUUGCCGAAGUCGAGGAUUGGUAGGAUGGUCAGUUUUACAAGGGUAUGUUUGGCAGCAUGAGUGAAGGAUGCUUUGUUGUGAAAUAGGAAGCCAAUUCUAGAUUUAACGUUGGAUUGGAGAUGUUUGAUGUGGGUCUGGAAGGAGAGUUUACAGUCUAACCAGACACCUAGGUAUUUGUAGUUGUCCACGUAUUCUAAGUCAGAGCCGUCCAGAGUAGUGAUGUUGGACA